UCAGAUCCUUUUUCCGGCAUUAG
rnacentral:miRNA from 2 species